CUGCUAUUACGCCAAGCUGGGCAGAAAACAAUCACCCCGCUGGGAAACACUCACCAGCAGCACCCUCCCAAGAUGGCCGCCGCACACCAGCCACAAGUGCAAACUACCCACAGGAUGGAACUUGCACACAGACGAAACCAUCCAGCGCCAUCUGACCACCACAGUAAUCAUCUCCAGGGAUGUGUCGGCUCACUACACUGGGCUAAACAAGGUGAUAUUUGCA